UGCAGUCGAGUGCGCGAUACCGUACCUAUACGGUAUGGCGCACGGCGCACGGGUGCGUAACACGUGGGCAAUCUGCCCUUCGAUGGGGAAUAUCUUCGGGAAACCGAAGCGAAUUCCGCAUAACAUUCCUUGGACUUCGGUUCGAGGACUCAAAGCCGUAAGGCGUCGAAGGAGGAGCCCGCGCCCGAUUAUCUAGUUGGUGAGGUAACGGCUCACCAAGGCAAUGAUCGGUAGCUGGUCUGAGAGGAUGGCCAGCCACACUGGAACUGAGACACGGUCCAGACUCCUACGGGAGGCAGCAGUGGGGAAUCUUGCGCAAUGGGCGAAAGCCUGACGCANCGACGCCGCGUGGGGGAUGAAGCAUCUCGGUGUGUAAACCCCUUUCGACUGGGACGAAUGCCUCGCAAGAGGAGUGACGGUACCAGUAGAAUAAGCCCCGGCUAACUACGUGCCAGCAGCCGCGGUAAGACGUAGGGGGCCAGCGUUGUUCGGAAUUACUGGGUGUAAAGGGUUCGUAGGCGGUGUGGCAAGUCGGGAGUGAAAUUUCUGGGCUUAACCCAGAAGCUGCUUCCCAAACUGCUGUGCUUGAGUGUGGGAGAGGCGCGUGGAAUUGCAGGUGUAGCGGUGAAAUGCGUAGAUAUCUGCAGGAUCACCCGUGGCGAAAGCGGCGCGCUGGACCACUACUGACGCUGAGGAACGAAAGCUAGGGGAGCAAACAGGAUUUAGAUACCCUGGUAGUUCCUAGCUCCUAAACGAUCAAGACCUUGGGGUG
rnacentral:rRNA from 1 species